rnacentral:tRNA from 1 species
GUGGCUGUAGCUCAGUUGGUAGAGCACCUGGUUGUGGACCAGGUGGUCGCGGGUUCGAGUCCCGUCAGCCACC